rnacentral:rRNA from 1 species
AGAGCGAACGCUGGCGGCAUGCUUAACACAUGCAAGUCGCACGGGCAGGGGUAACUCUGUCAGUGGCGGACGGGUGAGUAACGCGUAAGUAUCUAUCCUCGGGUGGGGGACAACCACGGGAAACUGUGGCUAAUACCGCAUGAUGACUGAGGUCCAAAGGCGCAAGUCGCCUGGGGAGGAGCCUGCGUCCGAUUAGCUUGUUGGUGGGGUAAAGGCCUACCAAGGCUCCGAUCGGUAGCUGGUCUGAGAGGAUGAUCAGCCACACUGGGACUGAGACACGGCCCCAGACUCCUACGGGAGGCAGCAGUGGGGAAUAUUGGACAAUGGGCGCAAGCCUGAUCCAGCAAUGCCGCGUGAGUGAAGAAGGUCUUCGGAUUGUAAAGCUCUUUCGACGGGGACGAUGAUGACGGUACCCGUAGAAGAAGCCCGGCUAACUUCGUGCCAGCAGCCGC